UGUUGGGGUAACGGCCCAACAAGCCUUUGACCGGUACGGGUUGUGGGAGCAAGAGCCCGGAGAUGGAUUCUGAGACAUGAAUCCAGGCCCUACGGGGCGCAGCAGGCGCGAAAACUUUACAAUGCGAGCAAUCGUGAUAAGGAAACCCUGAGUGCCUGUCAAUGCAGGCUGUUCUGGUGUCUAACACACACCAGGAGAAAGGGCGGGGCAAGACCGGUGCCAGCCGCCGCGGUAAUACCGGCUGCUCGAGUGAUAGCCACUUUUACUGGGCUUAAAGCGUUCGUAGCUUGGUCGUUAAGUCUCUGGGGAAAUCUUUUGGCUCAACCAAAAGGCGUCUCAGGGAAACUGACGAUCUUGGAACCGGGAGAGGUAAGACGUACUUCGGGGGUAGGAGUGAAAUCUUGCAAUCCCCGAGGGACGACCGAUGGCGAAGGCAUCUUACCAGAACGGCUUCGACAGUGAGGGACGAAAGCUGGGGGAGCAAACCGGAUUAGAU
rnacentral:rRNA from 1 species